UAGCAUAUCAAUAAGCGGAGGAAAAGAAACCAACAGGGAUUGCCUCAGUAACGGCGAGUGAAGCGGCAACAGCUCAAAUUUGAAAUCUGGCGCAAGGCCGAGUUGUAGUUUGUAGAGGAUGCUUCUGGGCAGCGGCCGGUCUAAGUUCCUUGGAACAGGACGUCAUAGAGGGUGAGAAUCCCGUAUGCGACCGGUUGGCACCCCUCACGUAUCUCCUUCUACGAGUCGAGUUGUUUGGGAAUGCGGCUCUAAAUGGGUGGUAAAUUCCAUCUAAAGCUAAAUACCGGCCAGAGACCGAUAGCGCACAAGUAGAGUGAUCGAAAGAUGAAAAGCACUUUGGAAAGAGAGUUAAAAAGCACGUGAAAUUGUUGAAAGGGAAGCGCAUGCAACCAGACUUGUCGGCGGUGUUCCGCCGGUCUUCUGACCGGUCUACUCGCCGCCGACAGGCCAGCAUCGUGUGGGUGCGCCGGAUAAAGGCGUCGGGAAUGUGGCCCCUCGGGGUGUUAUAGCCCGGCGCAUAAUACGGUGCCGCCCGCGCGAGGUCCGCGCUUCGGCUAGGAUGCUGGCGUAAUGGUCGUAUGCGGCCCGUCUUGAAACACGGACCAAGGAGUCUAACAUCUGUGCGAGUGUUCGGGUGUCAAACCCCUACGCGGAAUGAAAGUGAACGGAGGUGGGAGCUUCGGCGCACCAUCGACCGAUCCUGAUGUCCUCGGAUGGAUUUGAGUAAGAGCAUAGCUGUUGGGACCCGAAAGAUGGUGAACUAUGCCUGAAUAGGGUGAAGCCAGAGGAAACUCUGGUGGAGGCUCGCAGCGGUUCUGACGUGCAAAUCGAUCGUCAAAUUUGGGUAUAGGGGCGAAAGACUUAU
rnacentral:rRNA from 1 species